GCUCAGCUGUGGGGCCACAGAAGGCAGGAUCGGUGAUGACCUCCACCAUGGCUUGGUCCCCUCUCCUCCUCAGCCUCCUCGCUCACUGCACAGGAUCCUGGGCCCAGUCUGUGCUGACUCAGCCGCCCUCCGUGUCUGGGGCUUUGGGCCAGAGGGUCACCAUCUCCUGCACUGGAAUCCCCACCAGCAUGGAUUAUGAUAGAGAGGUCACAUACCAUUAUGUGAACUGGUACCAACAGCUCCUAGGAAAGGCACCCAUUCUCCUCAUCUAUAAUGAUGAUAGCAGAAACUCUGGGGUCCCUGAUCGAUUCUCUGGUUCCAAGUCAGAAAGCUCAGCCACCCUGACCAUCACUGGCCUUCAGGCUGAGGAUGAGGCUGAGUAUUAUUGCCAGUCCUAUGAUAGCAAUCUCAAUACUCACACAGUGCUCUAG